rnacentral:piRNA from 1 species
UUAAAUGGUCCAGAGACUAACCCC